UUUUCCUCUUCUUCAACAAAUGGUAAUGUCGAUAACGAGACAACUACGCGAUUUGGGCAAAUUUUGUCGGCAUCUCUUUCUUUAAGAAAGUUUCCACGCGUACUCACUUCCAUCUAAUCUCUAUUCUACAUUACGCCCUUUAACACCACCAGAUUUGCAGGUUUUAGGAAAUUUGGACACAUUCCAACAAGGAUCUAAGUCCUUUUGGAUUCAGAGAGACUUUGGACCAAUUUAGACACUUUUCCAGCAACAUUCUUCAUUCUGGCGUAGUUUCGGAAUUGUUUGGACACCUUCUGUCAAGACCUCAAGGUCUUUUUGUUUUAUAGGUUUCAACAUUUAGGCGAUAGAACCAGGAGUUAAUGACGAAAAGGAGCUUAAACAAGCCAAAACAGAGCUUGAUUACAUUAAACAAGAAGAAAGGAGCUAAAAAUGUUCAUUUUUCCUCUGCUUGCACAACAUUGUGGUGUCCUAUGGUACCAUGCUCUGCGUUGUAAGACAAAACGCCUCUUAUUCAUUAAAAGCACAUAGCUCCCCAGUGCUGCCUAAGAGCACCAUGACGCUCCGAACCUGAUGCGUGUGAGAUUUCCAUCAGCCAAUGUCGUGACUCUAUUGCGAUUUUAUAUAAAUACUAAUUUUAGCCGCAGGUCAUUUUAUCUUGGAUUUCAGUUGAUUGCAGCACAUUUUCUCUCUACUUCUCUUUUGUGUUAGUAAAUGUAUCUGAACUUU